CUUCACGGUCUUCCCAACGUUGUAGCAGGAGACUGCUAUUUUUGUGGGGCAAAAAUUUAAGCUGCCUGCUUAAUGCUGCCUCUUUUAUUAUUGGCCCCAUUUUUAACUAACUUUUUGUGUGAAUGUUGUUGUCUUGGAAGAGGGCAUGCUCGCUUUUGCCUCGGUCUUAAUUUUGUGGGUGUCUGCAUUGCUGCCUGUUUUCGCAAGGCUGUUUUUGUUGGUUGCCAACACAGAUUUGAUAUCUCCAUUAAUUUUCAUAUAAAUCCUCUGUAACGCUCUCGUUCUUUACCGGGAAAGGUUCUCCCAAUCUCCCCUUCAGAAUCAUCUAUCUAGUCUCUGAAAAGGAUACUGAUGAAUUCUAACUCUGAUGCUGUUAGAGUGCAAAUAUUCUACUAAAAUCAACAAAUACAGAAGGUAUUUUUACUAUGUGAUGGCAUCUCCUAAUGAAGAAUUGAGAAAGACUGGAAAAGAAGCCCUGACCCUGAAAGAAAUUUUCAGCCCUGGUGUGGAGUCAGCGCAUAAUAGCCGAGUUCCAAUGUCAUCCCAUUUUUGCUUGUUUGAGUUAAUGUUGUCAUUGGAAUGCUUACAAGUUCAUAGAAGUCCGAGUGUGAGAAGCCAGAGACCUUGAAAGGGAGUGUUAAGUUACAUCUUUUGUAAUUGGGUUAUUUAAAUAACAGAAAUUUAACAAUUGGAUUACAUUGGUCUCCUGUGUAUGGAAGCAUAAGAGGACAUGCCUCGAGCAUUAAAACUGUAGUAGUAUUUUAUUGGUCACUGACUAAUUAUCACAGUACCUUGGGGUCUACAGUCAUUGCAUGGGGACAAUAGUUCUACCAAAAGUUUAACUGUCACAAACGAGGACUUGAAUGAAGUAUUAAAGGGUUAAUUCAAUCUGAUAACUCAAUUUCCAAAAUGACUUCCUUUAGCACUUGCCCAGCAGGAAAAGAUGGUAGAUGUCAACUGGAUCCUUAGUAAAUGAAAGUCAUUUGGGACGAUGUCUCAUCGUCAGAAGUUUCAAACAAGCACCAAAACACAACUGGUGCUGGAAAGGCUCUCCCAUUAGGUCCUUCUUACAGGUCAGCUAUCUCAACCACUUUGCAUGUUGCACUCAUGGUGGCUGUGGCAGGGAAGAGAUCAUUGUCCGUUUCCACAUGGAUGAUACUUCUGCAAAAGAAGUCUGGAGAAAGAUACCAUAGUUUUUGAAGCAAGUUUCAUCCCAAGCAGCUCCAUGAUGUAGGACUGAAUGCUGUAUGGUGUACUUCCACAGGGACAACCAAGAUAAACAAUAGUGGCUGGAAGGCCGUCAACUCAGUGAAGAAUGCUCUUUCCCAGAAAGGCUCUUGUAAUUCAUAAAAGUGAGAAGUAGUUUAAUCACUUACCCAAUGUUGUGCUGGAAAAUUUUGAUUUAUGCAUCCCUGUGUGUCUGCCAAGUUCUGUGUUAACCACCCCUGGGUGCACAGCAUUGACUGUAACAUUACUCCCUAAUCAGAAAAUAAAAAAAUUAAGUCUUGUUGUUUUAUCUGUGAAAUUACAUUUGAAGCAUCAAAAAUGAAAGUCUGCACUGCCCUUGAUGGUUCAUCAAGUUAAUGCCUUGAGUAGCUGUGACAUUCAAACUGGACGACGUGGAUAUUAUUCAAUAGUUCUGACCGUUAAGUUUCAUGGUGAAUAAUGCCCACAACUCGUUUGGAGAUCAGUCAGGUCAAUAUAGCACUUUUGUUGUGAAAUGUUAACAAAACACAGUCUGGGGAUUACACUUUGUGACCUGUCUGGUUUAGGUAACUUGAAAUCAGCUUACUUUACGAAUUGAGUCAUCUGCAAAGUUCACAUAGCAUGCUUUUUGACAUUUAAAAAAAAUUGUACAAGGAGAACUCUACACUCUCUUUAAGCAGUGAGAAACACACUGUGUGGGUGACAUAGAGAGGGGUACAGGUCGAAACCCAGCACCUCCAAAAAAAUAAAAACCUGCCUUAAACCUGUGAGUAAAACACAGUUGUGAUGACAAUAAACAGAAUUCGUUUGUUGUUUUCUUUGGUAAUCAACAGAUGUCAAAUUGAAUAAAGUUGUUCUCAUUUUGGAAA